CGAACGAACUCUGGUAUUGAUUGGUGCUUGCAUCAUGAUUUACAUUUGAGUGAGUGGCGAACUGGUGAGUAACACGUGGGAAACCUGCCCAGAAGCGGGGGAUAACACCUGGAAACAGAUGCUAAUACCGCAUAACAACUUGGACCGCAUGGUCCGAGCUUGAAAGAUGGCUUCGGCUAUCACUUUUGGAUGGUCCCGCGGCGUAUUAGCUAGAUGGUGGGGUAAUGGCUCACCAUGGCAAUGAUACGUAGCCGACCUGAGAGGGUAAUCGGCCACAUUGGGACUGAGACACGGCCCAAACUCCUACGGGAGGCAGCAGUAGGGAAUCUUCCACAAUGGACGAAAGUCUGAUGGAGCAACGCCGCGUGAGUGAAGAAGGGUUUCGGCUCGUAAAACUCUGUUGUUAAAGAAGAACAUAUCUGAGAGUAACUGUUCAGGUAUUGACGGUAUUUAACCAGAAAGCCACGGCUAACUACGUGCCAGCAGCCGCGGUAAUACGUAGGUGGCAAGCGUUGUCCGGAUUUAUUGGGCGUAAAGCGAGCGCAGGCGGUUUUUUAAGUCUGAUGUGAAAGCCUUCGGCUCAACCGAAGAAGUGCAUCGGAAACUGGGGAAACUUGAGUGCAGAAGAGGACAGUGGAACUCCAUGUGUAGCGGUGAAAUGCGUAGAUAUAUGGAAGAACACCAGUGGGCGAAGGCGGCUGUCUGGUCUGUAACUGACGCUGAGGCUCGAAAGUAUGGGUAGCAAACAGGAUUAGAUACCCUGGUAGUCCAUACCGUAAACGAUGAAUGCUAAGUGUUGGAGGGUUUCCGCCCUUCAGUGCUGCAGCUAAACGCAUUAAGCAUUCCGCCUGGGGAGUACGGCCGCAAGGCUGAAACUCAAAGGAAUUGACGGGGGCCCGCACAAGCGGUGGAGCAUGUGGUUUAAUUCGAAGCUACGCGAAGAACCUUACCAGGUCUUGACAUACUAUGCAAAUCUAAGAGAUUAGACGUUCCCUUCGGGGACAUGGAUACAGGUGGUGCAUGGUUGUCGUCAGCUCGUGUCGUGAGAUGUUGGGUUAAGUCCCGCAACGAGCGCAACCCUUAUUAUCAGUUGCCAGCAUUAAGUUGGGCACUCUGGUGAGACUGCCGGUGACAAACCGGAGGAAGGUGGGGAUGACGUCAAAUCAUCAUGCCCCUUAUGACCUGGGCUACACACGUGCUACAAUGGAUGGUACAACGAGUUGCGAACUCGCGAGAGUAAGCUAAUCUCUUAAAGCCAUUCUCAGUUCGGAUUGUAGGCUGCAACUCGCCUACAUGAAGUCGGAAUCGCUAGUAAUCGCGGAUCAGCAUGCCGCGGUGAAUACGUUCCCGGGCCUUGUACACACCGCCCGUCACACCAUGAGAGUUUGUAACACCCAAAGUCGGUGGGGUAACCUUUUAGGAACCAGCCG
rnacentral:rRNA from 1 species